CGUUUUGUGUGUUGUCUUUUUGUUGCCGCUAUCGCCGCUGCUGCCGCCGAGGCUUGCUUGAUUCUUUAGGUUGUGAGUGUGUGUGUGUGUGUGUGCAUGGCUGGGAACAUGUUUUUGUGCUCAAGUAUCUGUGUGUGGUGUUUAGUUUUCGUCGCUGCUGCCGCUGUUGUUGUUGUUGGUUUUGCUAUUAUUUUUCGUCGAUUCGCCUUUGAGCGUUAUACACAACGUCGUUGCCAGAGAUACACUUUACGCUUACACACCACGUUCAGAUUCAUUCUGUAAUCGCGAUUCCUCGAGGACGUAGCAUUAACGUAAACACGUCGGCUGUAUUGUUCGCAUUGUAUAACGCGCGCUUUGAAACCAGCCAACAGCCAUCAUACUCUUGUUACAACAGCAACAACAACAACAACAAUCUCCUUUAUAUUAUUAUUCUAUCUUCUCGGCAACAAAACGAAAAAGAAGAACAACAUCCAACCAAACCCCUGGAAAAUGUAAUAAUUACGCGACAAAAAAAAAGAAAAAAAAAACAAAACAUAAUGAUUUGUAUUAAGGCGAAGAAAUGAAAACAAGUGAGCAAAAACAAAAAAAAAAGAAAUACAAUAACAGGAAGGAAAUCCCAACACCAACAACAUUGAACAGUGUCAACAACAUUGAAUUGUGAAUUGGCCGUGUAAUGAAUAAGAAUAACAAAUCAACGACAUUCGAAUUUUUAUUUUAGAUUUUUGUUGUGAAAUAGUAAAUUAAAUAAAAAAAUAAUAUUAAACAUAUUUUAUUACAAAAAAAAAACAACUCAAACAACAACUUCAACAACAACAAAAACAUGUGCAAUCUAUUUUUAAAAUAUCCAUAUGGGAAACUAAGUUUUCAAAUUUAGUCCAAUAAAUAAUGAAAUUACAAAAAUAAACGAGGAAACAACAAACUUAAAACUCGAAUAAAGAAAGCUAGCUUUAGAAAAGACAACAACAACAACAAACGUGACAACAAUUGGAAUAAAAAAAUAGAAAAGAAGUCCUAAAUGUAAGUUUAAUGCUUGGUAAUUAUUAUUCAACAAAAAAUAUUUUCAACAAAAAAUACUUGAAGAGCCGCAAGAAAAAAAAUGAACGAACCGAAGCGCACGUUACAAACUGUUGAAAUUACGGGUAAGCCAUUGACAUUCAUAGAAAUGGGUUAAGACAACAAAAACCGCUUAAUUAAGACAAAUUAUGUUAAAAACGUUUCUACUCAAUACCCACCGCAAAAAAAAUAACAAUAAAAUAUGCUCUUUCAUAAACAAAAAGAAAGAGAGAAGAAGAAGAAAAAAAAACAGCAUAACAAAUUAUGAUUCAUCUAAUUCAAGUCUUGAAUUAACAAUGUACCUACCCGCCGACAACAGCAACAACAAAAAGAACCUUUUGAGUUAUGUAUUUAUAUAUGCGAAUUUGUACUCCAAGUUAAUCUUUAUUUCUUGUGUUUAUUUUGUUGUUGCUUGUUUUGUUUUGUUCCGCAUUUAUUUUUAAACGAAAUUCUUCGGUAAUUCAUCAAAAGUUCAUUGCUCUUUUUUUGUGUGUGUGUAUUUUUUGACUUUUUUGUUAGUUUAUUUUUUUCAUGGAAUCCAAACUUUGUGAAUCUUUUUGUUAGGGUGUGUGGGGUAUUGUUUGUCGGGGAGUAUUGCAAAUAAAUAAUGUAAUUAUCAUGAAAUUAAUAUUUAAUUUAUUUGGAAUUUCAAAUACAUUGUGAGUUUUUUAGCAGUACUCGCUAAAACCUAAUCAUUUCACAAAUUUUUAAAUUUAAUUGAAUAGAAAUAUAUUACCCAAUAAAGUGAAUUAUUUUUCUUUCUCUGUUUUCUCUCCUUUAUUAUAACAUCAUGUGCGGCGAUUAUUGUUGAUUUAAUUAAAGACUCUUUUUGUGUUAAUUAAACUUAUGUCUUAUGCGAUUCAAGAAAGAAAAUAAAACCCCACAUUUAAUGUUCAGCUGUUUAUUUUAAGUAUAUUCUUCCCAUACACACACACACACACACAUGGGAGUCUCCCCUAACCAUCCUCUAUCGGCCAACCUAGACUUCAAUGUCUAUAUGUAAGGGAACGUUAGUUAAGCAUAUAUGCCGCCACCACCGCCGAGUGGUUCUCAUAUCCACUUGGAUAUAAUGAACGUUUGCUUGAACGACAUAGCCGUUGGUAUUCUUGCGAUGCGCUCGUUUACAAUACUCCUCCUUUGCUUCCUCUCUCCUCUCCUUUGCCUUCUUCCCUGUUCGUACUUCAUGGUCACCCAAAAAGCAUUUUCUUUCCAUGCUUGAGAGUUGUUGAUUUACGAUUUUUAUAUUUUCUCAUUUUACUUGGAUUUCUUCUUUGGUUUGUUGUUGUUUUUCCUGUGCACGUCUUGUUGUUUGGUUAAUUAUUUAAAGUGGCAUACAAUGUCUUGGAAGAAUAAAGAUUUUCAACAUUUCUCUCUUCUUGCCAUUUUACAUCUUUGCAUCUCACAUGCAGCUAUUUUUUUUUUUUUUUUGGUCGUUUGUAUGCGGCUGAUUGGGGAAUAUCUGGGAUGUUGAGGUACCAGAAAAUUGCAGGUGGUCUUUUUCGGAAUAAUAAUAGGCAGUCAUUGUUAUUGUGAAAAAUGACAUGGAAAGCCUGUGAAGUAUAUGUUUAAUGCAGGGGGUGGGCAUCAAAUAAAUGUUGGAAAUUAUAAAUGGAAUUAAAAAAUGUAAAUAUGUUUUUUUAUUAAA